rnacentral:rRNA from 1 species
GUACACUCCUCCGGGAGGCAGCAGUGGGGAAUUUUGGACAAUGGGCGAAAGCCUGAUCCAGCAAUGCCGCGUGUGUGAAGAAGGCCUUCGGGUUGUAAAGCACUUUUGUCCGGAAAGAAAUCCUUGGCUCUAAUACAGUCGGGGGAUGACGGUACCGGAAGAAUAAGCACCGGCUAACUACGUGCCAGCAGCCGCGGUAAUACGUAGGGUGCGAGCGUUAAUCGGAAUUACUGGGCGUAAAGCGUGCGCAGGCGGUUUGCUAAGACCGAUGUGAAAUCCCCGGGCUCAACCUGGGAACUGCAUUGGUGACUGGCAGGCUAGAGUAUGGCAGAGGGGGGUAGAAUUCCACGUGUAGCAGUGAAAUGCGUAGAGAUGUGGAGGAAUACCGAUGGCGAAGGCAGCCCCCUGGGCCAAUACUGACGCUCAUGCACGAAAGCGUGGGGAGCAAACAGGAUUAGAUACCCCUGUAGUCCC